rnacentral:sRNA from 1 species
GGACGACGAAUCAUUGCGUAUGCUAGUAGAACUCUUCAUGGAUCUGAGCGUAAUGAUGCCAAUUACAGCUCUGCCAAACUGGUACGUUUAGCUGUUAAGUGAGCAGUUACGGAGAAGUUUAAAGACUACCUCUAUGGUGCCAAAUUCGAAAUCUUGACAGACAACAACCCCCUGUGCUACCUUCAAAGUACAUCAAAACUGGGUGCAGUGGAACAGAGAUGAGCUGCUCAACUAGCUAUGUACAACUUUGAAAUCAAAUACAGAACAGGAAAAACCAACCAAGCUGCCGACGCACUGUCAAGAUUACCCAGACAAGGAACAGAGAUUCCAGCGAAGGUUUUUUAUGAUCAUGUUAGAAGAAGCUAUGCAGACUUCAAAUGAACACAGCAACAUGACUGUGGAUUGUAAUGCAAUCUACACCUUACCGAAGUAUAGCACCGUGGAUAUCCAAAGUAUGCAGCAAGAAUAUUCUGUCAUUGGUCGGUUUCUCUUAUAUUUCAAGUCUGCAUCUAAGCCAACAGGAUCAGAGCGACAGAAGGAAUCUCGACCAGUACUGGACAUGUUGCGACAAUGGGAUCGUAUGAAGCUGAUGGAUAAUGUACUCUUUCGACAAGUAAAUAAUCCAAACGAGGGGCUUCUUAGACAACUUGUCCUUCCACAUUGCCUAAGACCAGAGGUACUAAGGCUUCUACAUGAUCAAGCAAUAUCUGAAGAUUUGAUCACGACGAUGAGACCAGUCUUGCAGAUCAACAGCGAGAAGCAACCGUCCAAUAGCCAUCGUGCGACCCAUGAGGCGACAGCCAGUGAGACCAGCGCCACCGGAGGGGAUGAUCGUAGUUCAUCUCCCUCCGAGGACCCCGUCCCCUCCGGUGAGCCUGUCUUCACCGCCCUCCCCAUUCAGAAUGCCAGUGAGCCCUCAGAGAGGAGCGAGGCCCCAGCCACCAGCGAGGCCUCAGCGACGAGCGUGGCGGCCACCGGGGGCCGCCACUUCCACACCGGCCUCCAGAGGACCCCCACACCCAGUAGUGGUACGCCCACCACCACCACCCCAGGGAGUUCCAGCCCACAGGAGGAGGCCGGUGUGGAGACCACCGGGGGCCGCCACCGCUACCCAGGCCGGGAGGAGGAGGCCACGACACCAGUAGAGGAGGGGGCGAGGUCUACAGGUAGAAUAGGUAAUUCUACCCACCCCUCCUCUACUGGUUCAACACCACCUGAUGUUUCGCCUAGUUCUACCACACUCAUAUUAGUCACAUCCAUUUCCAUUUCCAUCUGCCUUAUCAUCACCAUCAUAUUUAUUGAUCAAGAACAUCAUUGCCACCACUGUGAUAAAGUAAUGAGCAAUGAACAGGACCUGAUGUUUCACGAAUUAGCUCAUGAUUUGGAUCAAAUGGAAUACAGCGGUGAAGGUCCAUGGUCCCCAUUGAUUCCCAAUUCAACAUGUGAACCUAUGGAAGAGGACCAUGUUGCAGAUCAAGAAAUGGCUCCUGAAUCCAUGGAAUCCGAUGAAGCAUCAACCUCUACUAGAACCAACUCAUCUCAAAUUGGUUUUGGCGGUGUGAAAAAAAUACCAUAUACCAUUCAAAAAGUAGGAGAACGAACUAUAAUGAAAAAUAAUGCUAUCGAUGUAAACUACAAUAUUCGGUUUAAUGCAGAAAACCCUGAACAAGGAAUGAGGCUGACUGAUCUACUUCGUGAAUUAGAAGAUAUGUUUGACAACAUUCUCAAUGAAACAGCUCGAGGACUUGACCCUUUUUGGGAUCUUGGACGAGUCAUCAUUUAUCACAUGGGGUUGUACAAUCCUGUGUAUGUACCACUAAGGCCCUUGAAAGAUCUUACUGGAAAAAGUGUGAUGGAGAACUUACAAAAUGUCUUAAACAGCCAUGAAAAUCUUUCUCUAGAUAAAAGUUUUUAUUUAAAUGUGGGGUUUAUUAAAGUUCCAAAGGGCGGUAUAACAGGCAAAAAUAUUAACAAAAAAGCCAAUGUAAGCAGUGAGAGACGUCUGUCCAUUCAAGACAUUUAUGCUUUUGAGAACGUAUUGAAUGUUGAUAUUCUAGUUGUCAGUGCCACUACUGGUAACAAAUUCAUACGAACUGUUCCAAAAGAUAUAAAAAGUGGGAAGUCAAAAUCAUCUCAGUGUGAUCGAUGGUGGAAAUGUGUGGUUUGUAAAAAAACUUUAGAUAGAUGCAAAAGAAAACCAGAGGAUCAUAUUUGCGGAGAAUGGCAGUGUGAAGCAUGUAAACGAUGUGUAACAGGGGCUCAUUUGUGCUACAUUAGGUCCAGAGAAUGUAAAGAGAAAAAACCCAGAUAUAUCUUUUUUGACUUUGAAUGUAUACAAGAAGAUCUUUUGCAUUGUAAAGAUGGAUACUCAAUGAAAAGAAAUGAUGAAUGUGUUCAAUGCAGUAACAGCCCCGAACCCUGCAUGGAAUGCUGUAAAUGUGUAAACUGUCAUCAUUCUUGGUGUGGAAAAUCUCAGCACAAACCCAACUUGGUAGUGGCUCAAACAGUGUGUGAGGAAUGCUUCAGUCAAGAACUCACACCAAAUUCUAAAUGCGAUAACUGUGGAACUAGGUGCAAAAAAUGUGAUAAGAAAAACAAACAGACUUUUAUUAACCCACCAUGUAAAAAUACAUGCGAAUUUCGAGAAAUAGUAUUUCGAGGAGAUCAAACUGCAAAUGCCUUUGAUUACUGCCGUAGUGAUGUGGACAUACUCAGACAAGCUUGUUUGAAAUUCAGAGAAAUUCUUAUGAAAAUCACAGGAAAAGAAGAAGUGGUAUUUGAGGAUGAAAUGCCAGAUAAAAAAUUAAUGGGAGGCGUGGAUCCUUUUCAAUGCACGACCAUUGCUGGGGUUUGCAUGGAAGUGUUUAAAAGCAAAUUUCUUCAAGAAGAAUGGCGUGUCAAAGUUAGAGGCAAUGAUGGAAUAAGUGAUUGGCUACAGGCCCGCCGACUGCAAGGGGACUUUUCCAUUUUAUUCAAGGAACAUUGGGUUACGGGUGAAGAGUUACAGAAUCAAGAAUACGUAAUAGAAGAAUCUGAAUUUGUUAGUUCACCUAUUUCACAAAUCCCUUCCACGGGUUAUGCCCCUUUUCUCGGACAAUAUAGUUGCGUAUCGAUACAGUGGCUCUCAUGGAUACAAGAAGAUCAUUUCAAAAAGACAGGGCACCGCCUCUACAUACAGCAUGCCUUAAAUGAGGGUGAAUUUCGACUGCCGGUCAUUUUCGUCAGCAGACCUGGAGAUCAGGAACCAAAAGUCGGGUCAUUUCUUGGUCAACUUACCAGUGAGUUACAACCCAAAGAAUACAUUACAGAAUUUGUUUCGGGAGGACCUAAAAAUUACGCAUACAGGACUUCAGAAGGAAAAGAAGUGUGCAAAAUCAAAGGAUUUACCCUAAACUAA